AUUGAACGCUGGCGGAAUGCUUUACACAUGCAAGUCGAACGGCAGCACGGACUUCGGUCUGGUGGCGAGUGGCGAACGGGUGAGUAAUGUAUCGGAACGUGCCCAGUCGUGGGGGAUAACGUAGUGAAAAUUACGCUAAUACCGCAUACGAUCUAUGGAUGAAAGCGGGGGAUCGCAAGACCUCGCGCGAUUGGAGCGGCCGAUAUCAGAUUAGGUAAUUGGUGGGGUAAAGGCCCACCAAGCCAACGAUCUGUAGCUGGUCUGAGAGGACGAGCAGCCACACUGGAACUGGGACACGGUCCAGACUCCUACGGGAGGCAGCAGUGGGUAAUUUUGGAAAAUGGGCGAAAGCCUGAUCCAGCCAUUCCGCGUGCAGGAUGAAGGCCCUCGGGUUGUAAACUGCUUUUGUACAGAACGAAAAGGUUUCUACUAAUACUAGGAGCUCAUGACGGUACUGUAAGAAUAAGCACCGGCUAACUACGUGCCAGCCGCCGCCGUAA
rnacentral:rRNA from 1 species